rnacentral:rRNA from 1 species
AGCAGCCGCGGUAAUUCCAGCUCCAAUAGCGUAUAUUAAAGUUGUUGCAGUUAAAAAGCUCGUAGUUGAAUUUCGGGAUCAAAGGAUCGGUCAUGCCUUGGUAUGUACUGGUUUUAUUGGUUCUCACCUUCUAAAGAACCAUAAUGUCAUUCAUUUGAUGUUAUGGGGAAUUAGGACUGUUACCUUGAAAAAAUUUAGAGUGUUUAAAGCAGGCUUACGCUUGAAUACAUUAGCAUGGAAUAAUGAAAUAGGACGUUUGAUUCUAUUUUGUUGGUUUCUAGGAUCGACGUAAUGAUUAAUAGGGAUAGUUGGGGGCAUUAGUAUUCAAUUGUCAGAGGUGAAAUUCUUGGAUUUAUUGAAGACUAACUACUGCGAAAGCAUUUGCCAAGGAUGUUUUCAUUAAUCAAGAACGAAAGUUAGGGGAUCGAAGACGAUCAGAUACCGUCGUAGUCUUAACCAUAAACUAUGCCGACUAGGGAUCGGAUGAUGUUAAUUUUUUUAAUGACUCAUUCGGCGCCUU